AAGUCGUAACAAGGUUUCCGUAGGUGAACCUGCGGAAGGAUCAUCAUUGGAUUUGAUGUUAUUCGACCCUGUGCACUGUUUUGAGCGCGCCGGCUUGGUGCUGGCGCGUUUAUUUAUCUUACAUACCGCUUGAAGCGAAUCUGCAUUUAAAAAACAAAAUAGACACAACUUUUAACAACGGAUCUCUUGGUUCUC
rnacentral:misc_RNA from 1 species